GGAUAUUGAAGUAAUAAAUUACAUUUAGUUUCGACCUAAAGUUAGAGAUUUUUUUUUCCUUAUCCA
rnacentral:tRNA from 1 species